UGGGGAAUAUUGGACAAUGGGCGCAAGCCUGAUCCAGCCAUGCCGCGUGAGUGAUGAAGGCCCUAGGGUUGUAAAGCUCUUUCACCGGUGAAGAUAAUGACGGUAACCGGAGAAGAAGCCCCGGCUAACUUCGUGCCAGCAGCCGCGGUAAUACGAAGGGGGCUAGCGUUGUUCGGAUUUACUGGGCGUAAAGCGCACGUAGGCGGACUAUUAAGUCAGGGGUGAAAUCCCGGGGCUCAACCCCGGAACUGCCUUUGAUACUGGUAGUCUUGAGUUCGAGAGAGGUGAGUGGAAUUCCGAGUGUAGAAGUGAAAUUCGUAGGUAUUCGGAGGAACACCAGUGGCGAAGGCGGCUCACUGGCUCGAUACUGACGCUGAGGUGCGAAAGCGUGGGGAGCAAACAGG
rnacentral:rRNA from 1 species